GUUGUUGGGUAGGGGAGCGUUCUGUAAGCCUGUGAAGGUGUACUGUGAGGUAUGCUGGAGGUAUCAGAAGUGCGAAUGCUGACAUAAGUAACGAUAAAGCGGGUGAAAAGCCCGCUCGCCGGAAGACCAAGGGUUCCUGUCCAACGUUAAUCGGGGCAGGGUGAGUCGACCCCUAAGGCGAGGCCGAAAGGCGUAGUCGAUGGGAAACAGGUUAAUAUUCCUGUACUUGGUGUUACUGCGAAGGGGGGACGGAGAAGGCUAUGUUGGCCGGGCGACGGUUGUCCCGGUUUAAGCGUGUAGGCUGGUUUUCCAGGCAAAUCCGGAAAAUCAAGGCUGAGGCGUGAUGACGAGGCACUACGGUGCUGAAGCAACAAAUGCCCUGCUUCCAGGAAAAGCCUCUAAGCAUCAGGUAACAUCAAAUCGUACCCCAAACCGACACAGGUGGUCAGGUAGAGAAUACCAAGGCGCUUGAGAGAACUCGGGUGAAGGAACUAGGCAAAAUGGUGCCGUAACUUCGGGAGAAGGCACGCUGAUAUGUAGGUGAAGUCCCUCGCGGAUGGAGCUGAAAUCAGUCGAAGAUACCAGCUGGCUGCAACUGUUUAUUAAAAACACAGCACUGUGCAAACACGAAAGUGGACGUAUACGGUGUGACGCCUGCCCGGUGCCGGAAGGUUAAUUGAUGGGGUUAGCGGUAACGCGAAGCUCUUGAUCGAAGCCCCGGUAAACGGCGGCCGUAACUAUAACGGUCCUAAGGUAGCGAAAUUCCUUGUCGGGUAAGUUCCGACCUGCACGAAUGGCGUAAUGAUGGCCAGGCUGUCUCCACCCGAGACUCAGUGAAAUUGAACUCGCUGUGAAGAUGCAGUGUACCCGCGGCAAGACGGAAAGACCCCGUGAACCUUUACUAUAGCUUGACACUGAACAUUGAGCCUUGAUGUGUAGGAUAGGUGGGAGGCUUUGAAGUGUGGACGCCAGUCUGCAUGGAGCCGGCCUUGAAAUACCACCCUUUAAUGUUUGAUGUUCUAACGUUGGCCCCUGAUCGGGGUUGCGGACAGUGUCUGGUGGGUAGUUUGACUGGGGCGGUCUCCUCCUAAAGAGUAACGGAGGAGCACGAAGGUUGGCUAAUCCUGGUCGGACAUCAGGAGGUUAGUGCAAUGGCAUAAGCCAGCUUGACUGCGAGCGUGACGGCGCGAGCAGGUGCGAAAGCAGGUCAUAGUGAUCCGGUGGUUCUGAAUGGAAGGGCCAUCGCUCAACGGAUAAAAGGUACUCCGGGGAUAACAGGCUGAUACCGCCCAAGAGUUCAUAUCGACGGCGGUGUUUGGCACCUCGAUGUCGGCUCAUCACAUCCUGGGGCUGAAGUAGGUCCCAAGGGUAUGGCUGUUCGCCAUUUAAAGUGGUACGCGAGCUGGGUUUAGAACGUCGUGAGACAGUUCGGUCCCUAUCUGCCGUGGGCGCUGGAGAACUGAGGGGGGCUGCUCCUAGUACGAGAGGACCGGAGUGGACGCAUCACUGGUGUUCGGGUUGUCAUGCCAAUGGCACUGCCCGGUAGCUAAAUGCGGAAGAGAUAAGUGCUGAAAGCAUCUAAGCACGAAACUUGCCCCGAGAUGAGUUCUCCCUGACUCCUUGAG
rnacentral:rRNA from 1 species